UCCUGGCUUAGGACGAACGCUGGCGGCGUGCCUAACACAUGCAAGUCGAGCGGGGACAUACGACGGAUCGGAAGUUUUCGGAUGGAAGAGAAGAUGUAUGUUCUAGCGGCGGACGGGUGAGUAACGCGUGAGCAACCUGUCCUUCACAGGGGGAUAACACAGCGAAAGUUGUACUAAUACCGCAUGAGACCACAUUGGGACAUCCCAGAGGGGUCAAAGGAGCAAUCCGGUGAAGGGUGGGCUCGCGUCCGAUUAGAUAGUUGGUGAGGUAACGGCCCACCAAGUCGACGAUCGGUAGCCGACCUGAGAGGGUGAUCGGCCACAUUGGGACUGAGACACGGCCCAAACUCCUACGGGAGGCAGCAGUGGGGAAUAUUGGGCAAAUGGGGGAAACCCUGACCCAGCAACGCCGCGUGAGGGAAGAAGGUUUUCGGAUCGUAAACCUCUGUCCUGUGGGACGAAGGAAGUGACGGUACCACAGGAGGAAGCCCCGGCUAACUACGUGCCAGCCGCCGC
rnacentral:rRNA from 1 species